rnacentral:rRNA from 1 species
UACAGAGGCCCCAAGCGUUACUGAGAAUCACUGGGUUUAAAGGGUGCGUAGGCGGCCUUCUAAGUCGAACGUGAAAUCCCCGGGCUCAACCCGGGAACUGCGUCCGAUACUGGAAGGCUUGAAUCCGGGAGAGGGAUGCGGAAUUCCAGGUGUAGCGGUGAAAUGCGUAGAUAUCUGGAGGAACACCGGUGGCGAAGGCGGCAUCCUGGACCGGCAUUGACGCUGAGGCGCGAAAGCCAGGGGAGCA